rnacentral:rRNA from 1 species
AUUGAACGCUGGCGGCAUGCCUUACACAUGCAAAUCGAACGGUAACGGGCCUUCGGGUGCCGACGAGUGGCGAACGGGUGAGUAAUACAUCGGAACGUGCCCGAUCGUGGGGGAUAACGAGGCGAAAGCUUUGCUAAUACCGCAUACGAUCUACGGAUGAAAGCAGGGGACCGCAAGGCCUUGCGCGGACGGAGCGGCCGAUGGCAGAUUAGGUAGUUGGUGGGAUAAAAGCUUACCAAGCCGACGAUCUGUAGCUGGUCUGAGAGGAUGAUCAGCCACACUGGGACUGAGACACGGCCCAGACUCCUACGGGAGGCAGCAGUGGGGAAUUUUGGACAAUGGGCGCAAGCCUGAUCCAGCCAUGCCGCGUGCAGGAUGAAGGCCUUCGGGUUGUAAACUGCUUUUGUACGGAACGAAAAGCCUUCUUUUAAUACAGGAGGGUCAUGACGGUACCGUAAGAAUAAGCACCGGCUAACUACGUG